AUGGCUCUGAGUAAUCAGACUGUCACUUUGAUAAAGAUACAUGAAAACUCUGUAAGCACAAAAGAAAUAGUUACAGCUUAUGUAAAAAUUGAUAUGAAUAAUGUUAUAGAAGUUAAACUAAGGACAGAAUGUGCAUUUGCCCCAGAACAUGUGCAGUGUGUAUUGUAGAAGGCGCAAAAGAAAUGCAAACAUACCAUGUUACUUAAUUAAAAUGCUAUUAGGGCUCCAAAGGGAGCCACAAUAGGUUGGGUUUUCUUUUUCAGAUUGCUGUGUGUUUUGGAAGCAGAAGUUAAAAGUAAUCAAAACUCUGGUGAAAGCUGAUUGCGUCCCUUUUAAGAUAGAGUCUCUGAACUGCUGAUGACUUUAAAUCCAAAAGCAGGAAGCGUCUCUGAAUAUGCAAAUUACCUAA